CUACGGGGGGCAGCAGUGGGGAAUAUUGGACAAUGGGCGAAAGCCUGAUCCAGCCAUGCCGCGUGUGUGAAGAAGGCCUUCGGGUUGUAAAGCACUUUCAGUGGGGAAGAAAGCCUUGGGGCUAAUACCCUCGAGGAAGGACAUCACCCACAGAAGAAGCACCGGCUAACUCCGUGCCAGCAGCCGCGGUAAUACGGAGGGUGCGAGCGUUAAUCGGAAUUACUGGGCGUAAAGCGCGCGUAGGCGGUCUGAUAAGCCGGUUGUGAAAGCCCCGGGCUCAACCUGGGAACGGCAUCCGGUACUGUCAGGCUAGAGUGCAGGAGAGGAAGGUAGAAUUCCCGGUGUAGCGGUGAAAUGCGUAGAGAUCGGGAGGAAUACCAGUGGCGAAGGCGGCCUUCUGGACUGACACUGACGCUGAGGUGCGAAAGCGUGGGUAGCAAACAGGAUUAGAUACCCCAGUAGUC
rnacentral:rRNA from 1 species